GCCCGGGUAGUUCAACGGCAGAACGAAUCCAUGGUAAGGAUUAAAUUAGAGUUCGACUCUCUAUCCGGGCU
rfam:Microgenomates (Amesbacteria) bacterium GW2011_GWC2_45_19 TX05_C0013, whole genome shotgun sequence.